AACUGAACAAAUUGGAGAUGGGAGUUUUAAGUCUCCAUCUAAAUUGAUAAGAAAUCAUGAAUUCAAUAUGGGAAUUUACAAUCACUCAACAGCGCUAGCGAUUGAAUUACCACGCAAUAUAAAUCAAUAUUUAGGCUCACGCUUUGAAAGUUGUUUCAAUGUUUAUCAUCAGACAAUUCAUUAUUUACAGGUAUUCAUCUUCUUCGGUCCUGAAAAAAAGCCUAUGUGCCGAAGUUUAAGCCUAAUGGAGCGUUUCAAUGGAGCAGUUAUUUGAAAGAAGGCCCUUAUGACACCUUGAACCCUGUACAUAAACCCCAUGUCUGUGGUGAUGACACAGUUCCAUGGCUGAUGCAGAUUAUACCUGCUCACUUGGGGAUGUUUAUGGAAGCAUGAUGGACUUCGUGUCAUACGGGGACCAAGACAUGCAGAUGAUCUACAUGGGAGCAUUUUUUCUGGAUUUUCAGAGGUUUUCAUGUGUGAGGAGGAUGGCUGUGCUCUGCACCACGAAGAAGAUGUCAUGCUGAGGAUGGGUUUCUGCACUGAUAUUGUUGGUGUGAUGUAGCGGCGGCUCUCUCACUGUGUCUCUGUUGGCCAUGAUGCGUAACCAUAGAGAGUGAGUGACAGCCUGGUCCCCACACAGCAUAGGGGGCCUGAGAACCACAGACUCCUUUCAGAAGCAGUGAGGACUGACCAGUCUGCAAGCGAGACACUGGCCUUUCUCCCAUCAUGCCAGUCACUGACUGUUCUAGGCGUUGCGUUCAAAGACUAGUGGCAGAAGUAUGGAAAUGCAGAUAAAGCAUUGUAACAAAUGAAAGAGAAAAAAAAGGUUAAAUGCCUGGAAAUGGUCACCAUCCACCACUUGUACCACCGCCUCGUGCAUUAUCUUUUGUUUUGAACGUUUUGCCAACAUUUUCAGUUGUUGACGGAUCUGUAGAGUGGAAGUAUCUAUCUACACACGUUUUUGUUUCUUUGAAUUUAAGACGUUAUUAACAAUGACCUGUCACAGUUUGCUGAUGAUAGGCCCAAAUGUACUCUUUCAGAUAAACAUUCUACAUAGUUUGUUAGAUAUGGAAUCAUACAACUGCCAUGUAAUGUUUACGAGAAAAGUCCACUGGCUGUUUUGGUUAUAUUCUGAUGAUUGAUUGAGUUGAACCAGUCAUAGGCUGGCUCAUUUUCAUUACAAAUGGUUAAUAUCCAUGGGAUAUAACGCCCACCUGAGUAGUAUGUGAGCUAAUAUGGAAAUGUAGCAACAUUUAUCUCAAAUGAUAUCCAAUACAUUUGAUCCAUCUUUAUUUUGUAAUAAAUGUUUUGUCAAAGUUAUAAGAAAAAAUAUUAUUCACCAUUUUGUGUAAUGUUGUGAUUAUCCUUAUCAUAAUAAAAAUA